GCCACGUGAUGAUACAAAGGCGAGUGUGACCUCACGGUGUCGAGGCCCAGGGGAGCUGCCCGAACCCCGAGGGUCCGUAAUCUUGGUGGGAACGUCCAAGACCUGCGUGCUCGCUGUAAGGGCGGACCAACAGCAAGAUCCCGCGCCCAGCGACCGGAGAACGGCGGCCGGCAUUGAAGAGCGUGUCACCCCGGCAACGCUCGGGAGCAGGGCGCGGACACGGGGUGGGGGGAGGCGUGCCGGAGUUCGGGCAGAACCCCCCUGUCAACCUGCCGGAGAGGGUGAUCGCACAUCUUUGGUAAUCUGAUGGCC